ACUCUGGUAUUGAUUGGUGCUUGCAUCAUGAUUUACAUUUGAGUGAGUGGCGAACUGGUGAGUAACACGUGGGAAACCUGCCCAGAAGCGGGGGAUAACACCUGGAAACAGAUGCUAAUACCGCAUAACAACUUGGACCGCAUGGUCCGAGUUUGAAAGAUGGCUUCGGCUAUCACUUUUGGAUGGUCCCGCGGCGUAUUAGCUAGAUGGUGGGGUAACGGCUCACCAUGGCAAUGAUACGUAGCCGACCUGAGAGGGUAAUCGGCCACAUUGGGACUGAGACACGGCCCAAACUCCUACGGGAGGCAGCAGUAGGGAAUCUUCCACAAUGGACGAAAGUCUGAUGGAGCAACGCCGCGUGAGUGAAGAAGGGUUUCGGCUCGUAAAACUCUGUUGUUAAAGAAGAACAUAUCUGAGAGUAACUGUUCAGGUAUUGACGGUAUUUAACCAGAAAGCCACGGCUAACUACGUGCCAGCAGCCGCGGUAAUACGUAGGUGGCAAGCGUUGUCCGGAUUUAUUGGGCGUAAAGCGAGCGCAGGCGGUUUUUUAAGUCUGAUGUGAAAGCCUUCGGCUCAACCGAAGAAGUGCAUCGGAAACUGGGAAACUUGAGUGCAGAAGAGGACAGUGGAACUCCAUGUGUAGCGGUGAAAUGCGUAGAUAUAUGGAAGAACACCAGUGGCGAAGGCGGCUGUCUGGUCUGUAACUGACGCUGAGGCUCGAAAGUAUGGGUAGCAAACAGGAUUAGAUACCCUGGUAGUCCAUACCGUAAACGAUGAAUGCUAAGUGUUGGAGGGUUUCCGCCCUUCAGUGCUGCAGCUAACGCAUUAAGCAUUCCGCCUGGGGAGUACGGCCGCAAGGCUGAAACUCAAAGGAAUUGACGGGGGCCCGCACAAGCGGUGGAGCAUGUGGUUUAAUUCGAAGCUACGCGAAGAACCUUACCAGGUCUUGACAUACUAUGCAAAUCUAAGAGAUUAGACGUUCCCUUCGGGGACAUGGAUACAGGUGGUGCAUGGUUGUCGUCAGCUCGUGUCGUGAGAUGUUGGGUUAAGUCCCGCAACGAGCGCAACCCUUAUUAUCAGUUGCCAGCAUUAAGUUGGGCACUCUGGUGAGACUGCCGGUGACAAACCGGAGGAAGGUGGGGAUGACGUCAAAUCAUCAUGCCCCUUAUGACCUGGGCUACACACGUGCUACAAUGGAUGGUACAACGAGUUGCGAACUCGCGAGAGUAAGCUAAUCUCUUAAAGCCAUUCUCAGUUCGGAUUGUAGGCUGCAACUCGCCUACAUGAAGUCGGAAUCGCUAGUAAUCGCGGAUCAGCAUGCCGCGGUGAAUACGUUCCCGGGCCUUGUACACACCGCCCGUCACACCAUGAGAGUUUGUAACACCCAAAGUCGGUGGGGUAACCUUUUAGGAACCAGCCGCCUAAG
rnacentral:rRNA from 1 species